rnacentral:lncRNA from 1 species
AAAUGGGAGGUGGGAUUUGAGAAAUGGGGUUUAGAGGAUUCGGAGCAUUACAGCAAGCAGGUGAGCGACCAAACGGCCCCAAAAUGGCACCAAAAUGGCCCAAAAUGGCACGGAAAUGGCCCAAAAUGGCACCAAAAUGGCACCAAACGGCCCCAAAAUGGCCCCAGAUGGCUCCAAAAUGGCCCAAAAUGGCCCCAGAAUGGGAGGUGGGAUUUGAGAAAUGGGGUUUAGAGGAUUCUGAGCACUACAACAAGCAGGUGAGCGACCACAACGGCCCCAAAACGACCCCAAAAUGGCACCAAAAUGGCCCAAAAUGGCACCAAAAUGGCACCAAAUGGCACCAAACCACCCCAAAACAGCCCAAAACGGCACCAAAAUGGCCCAAAAUGGCUCCAAAAUGGCCCCAAAUAGGGA